AACGAACGCUGGCGGCAGGCCUAACACAUGCAAGUCGAACGUGAAGCCACCUUCGGGUGGUGGAAAGUGGCAGACGGGUGAGUAACGCGUGGGAAUCUACCCAAUGGUACGGAAUAACUCAGGGAAACUUGAGCUAAUACCGUAUGUGCCCGAAAGGGGAAAGAUUUAUCGCCAUUGGAUGAGCCCGCGUCUGAUUAGCUAGUUGGUGGGGUAAUGGCCCACCAAGGCGACGAUCAGUAGCUGGUCUGAGAGGAUGAUCAGCCACACUGGGACUGAGACACGGCCCAGACUCCUACGGGAGGCAGCAGUGGGGAAUAUUGGACAAUGGGCGCAAGCCUGAUCCAGCCAUGCCGCGUGAGUGAUGAAGGCCCUAGGGUUGUAAAGCUCUUUCGGCGGGGACGAUAAUGACGGUACCCGCAGAAGAAGCCCCGGCUAACUUCGUGCCAGCAGCCGCCGUAA
rnacentral:rRNA from 1 species